rnacentral:misc_RNA from 1 species
GUCAAAUUAAAUUCCUCCCCAAAUUUUUGUAAAUUAUUUAUCCAAUUUCUAAGGCAUUUAUAAUUAUAUUUUUCCACAUUGGAGUGUUACAGCUUUCACCCUCAAAACCUUAUCUCUCCCUCUCUUUUCUUUCCAAUUGUGUGUUUUUGAUUCCCAUCAACAUCAAUUAAAAAUGUUCUCUUAUUCAUAGAAUUUUACAGAAUUUUUCAAAUUUCAAUUAAAUUACCUAAUUUAUUAUGUGUUUAUUUGUGUAAAAAAAAUCGAAUUCAAUUUCAUAUAAUAUAUUAUAAGAAUUUUGAAUU